GACGGGAGCUUGCUCCUUGAUUCAGCGGCGGACGGGUGAGUAAUGCCUAGGAAUCUGCCUGGUAGUGGGGGACAACGUUUCGAAAGGAACGCUAAUACCGCAUACGUCCUACGGGAGAAAGCAGGGGACCUUCGGGCCUUGCGCUAUCAGAUGAGCCUAGGUCGGAUUAGCUAGUUGGUGGGGUAAUGGCUCACCAAGGCGACGAUCCGUAACUGGUCUGAGAGGAUGAUCAGUCACACUGGAACUGAGACACGGUCCAGACUCCUACGGGAGGCAGCAGUGGGGAAUAUUGGACAAUGGGCGAAAGCGUGAUCCAGCCAUGCCGCGUGUGUGAAGAAGGUCUUCGGAUUGUAAAGCACUUUAAGUUGGGAGGAAGGGCAGUAAGCUAAUAUCUUGCUGUUUUGACGUUACCGACAGAAUAAGCACCGGCUAACUCUGUGCCAGCAGCCGCGGUAAUACAGAGGGUGCAAGCGUUAAUCGGAAUUACUGGGCGUAAAGCGCGCGUAGGUGGUUCGUUAAGUUGGAUGUGAAAGCCCCGGGCUCAACCUGGGAACUGCAUCCAAAACUGGCGAGCUAGAGUACGGUAGAGGGUGGUGGAAUUUCCUGUGUAGCGGUGAAAUGCGUAGAUAUAGGAAGGAACACCAGUGGCGAAGGCGACCACCUGGACUGAUACUGACACUGAGGUGCGAAAGCGUGGGGGAGCAAACAGGAUUAGAUACCCUGGUAGUCCACGCCGUAAACGAUGUCAACUAGCCGUUGGAAUCCUUGAGAUUUUAGUGGCGCAGCUAACGCAUUAAGUUGACCGCCUGGGGAGUACGGCCGCAAGGUUAAAACUCAAAUGAAUUGACGGGGGCCCGCACAAGCGGUGGAGCAUGUGGUUUAAUUCGAAGCAACGCGAAGAACCUUACCAGGCCUUGACAUGCAGAGAACUUUCCAGAGAUGGAUUGGUGCCUUCGGGAACUCGUGACA
rnacentral:rRNA from 1 species